rnacentral:rRNA from 1 species
UACGAAGGUCCCAAGCGUUAUCCGGAUUUAUUGGGUUUAAAGGGUGCGUAGGCGGGUUAUUAAGUCAGUGGUGAAAGCCUACAGCUUAACUGUAGAAUUGCCAUUGAUACUGAUAAUUUUGAGUAUGAUUGAGGUGGGCGGAAUGUGUCAUGUAGCGGUGAAAUGCUUAGAUAUGACACAGAACACCGAUUGCGAAGGCAGCUCACUAAGUCAUAACUGACGCUGAUGCACGAAAGCGUGGGGAGCAAACAGG